CCUCCAGGAAACGUGUGUGUUGCCGGGAGGGGAGGCCUCUGCAAUUCUACGGGGUUCUGCUUCUACCUGCAUUACAUGAAGUGGAAAGGAAGAAAAAGUACUCCUUGAACAGGAAUUCAGUGGCAAUGUGCUGCAUGUACCCAGCUGAUGGGCAGAACUCCCAGAUCUGCCACAACCAGAACCAAGAUCACGUCGUGAGACUUUGACCUCUGUUCUGCUCAUCACCUUCCCGCAGUGCAAGGGCUCUGUGGUUCCCAGAGACCAGGAAGAAGAACCAUCCGUCAAACAAAUACCGACACUUCCAACCUGAACAUCUUCCGAGAUGGAGAAACGGAGCCAGAAAGAUGACACGGAUGGACACUAUGUCCCUUCACACAUGAUGCCCCGGGGACGCUAUUAUGUGUUGCCUACAGGGUAUUUCCACCAAGAAUCAUAACCUGAGUCUGAUCAUGAAGAAAUUUCAGAUAAACCCCAAGGGAGGAACGUCUCAUGAAAAGAAAAGAUUGGCUAUCUCCUUCACAAAAUUUCAGAGUCAUAAAAGACAAGGACAGUAUUGGGUGAAUUUAUAAACUAAGGAGUUCCCAGAUCCGAGCUGCAGUUUCAACCUACACCACCGCUUCGGCAAUGCCGGAUCCUUUAAUCCACCGUGCUAAGCUGGGGAUCAAACCUGCAUCCUCAGCACUGCAGAGCUGCCGCCGAUCCUGUCGUGCCACAGCAGGAACUCCUCAAUUAUUUUUUCAUCAAGGGAAGCAGCAAUUGGGAAGGAAAAAAAUCCUGGCAACACCUGUUCAGAAGUUUAUGGUCAACGUCAUGAAGCUCUGGACACCUCUACUCAUGACAUUGCUCUGUGUGGUGCUACUGUCUGCGCGGGGAGCAAUAAAGGAAAAACAUAGCAACAGGGAGAAAUCGUUACUUCAGGAGUGCUGGGGACUGCCAAAUGUCCAUGAAUGUGACAAGAGGUGUUCGAGAACCUUUAGAUGUGUCGACAUCAAUCACACAUGCUGCUGGACCUACUGUGGAAACAUCUGCUGGAAGAACACUGUAAUCACUGAAAGACAACUAAAACCUUAACUUCCCCCUGGGACACCAGUCUAUUCUCAUCGAGGGCUGGGCAGCAGUAAAUCCUUGGGAAAUAAACUCAUUUGCCAACAGUGGUCUUUGGCUACUUUCCACUCCGUUCCACCACCCUUGAAUGCCGAUAUGACACCCCCCAAUAUUUUUUCCAUCUUAUAGUGUAUAGAAUUUUCUAUACCUGAUAAAAUAUGUGAGAAACGUUAAAACAGACACUAUCACACAACCUAAAUAUCCAUGACAGAUGAAUGAUUAAAGAAGAAGUGGUUCUAUUUGCAACAGCCAAGACAUUGGAAACAACCUAAAUGUCCAUCAACAAGAGGAGUGGAUCAAGAAGAUGUGGUACAUACACACAAUGGAAUAUUACUCAGCCAUUAAAAGGAACGAAAUACUG